GGGCAGUGGGGCAGGAACCGAGGGAGGCCUGGUUUCACACUGAGCCACAGGCGUGCCUGGCCUUGGGGAUAGCUCUAAAACAGACAGAGUUCCAGUUAUCACAAAUUUACACAUGGUGGCAUCAGGGAAGGCCUCCUGGAGGAGGUGACCAUGUAAAGGAGGAGAAUGUUCCUGGGAGGAGGAAUGGCCAGUACAGAGGCUCAGAAAUGGCUUGGAGCUUGUUGGUGUUUGAGGAAGAAGACAGAGGCAACAUCUCACUCACUGAUGUCAGCUGGUUGCAAACCCUAAUGCCUUCAGGGGAGAGAGAGGCAGCAGAAGUAUACAAAGUGACACAUGGUGAACUGGAGGCAAAAAGAGAACAGAAAAUACAAACUGGCUUG